UGCCCUAUGGUGUAACUGAUUAGCACGGGAAAUUCUAAACUUCCAAGUUUGGGUUUGAAUCCUAAUGGGGUAA
rnacentral:tRNA from 1 species